CUACGGGGUGCUCCAGUAGGGAAUCUUCCGCAAUGGGCGAAAGCCUGACGGAGCAACGCCGCGUGAGUGAUGAAGGUCUUCGGAUCGUAAAACUCUGUUAUCAGGGAAGAACAAAUGUGUAAGUAACUGUGCACAUCUUGACGGUACCUGAUCAGAAAGCCACGGCUAACUACGUGCCAGCAGCCGCGGUAAUACGUAGGUGGCAAGCGUUAUCCGGAAUUAUUGGGCGUAAAGCGCGCGUAGGCGGUUUUUUAAGUCUGAUGUGAAAGCCCACGGCUCAACCGUGGAGGGUCAUUGGAAACUGGAAAACUUGAGUGCAGAAGAGGAAAGUGGAAUUCCAUGUGUAGCGGUGAAAUGCGCAGAGAUAUGGAGGAACACCAGUGGCGAAGGCGACUUUCUGGUCUGUAACUGACGCUGAUGUGCGAAAGCGUGGGGAUCAAACAGGAUUAGAUACCCUUGUAGUC
rnacentral:rRNA from 1 species